CCUCAUCCUCUAUUGUGCAGAAAACGUCAGGCCUCGUCUCGUUUGCCUUAACGUGAUGGUGCCCGCUUGUUGGAGUCUCUCUCUCUCUCUCUUUCCUUCUGUCCUUCUCCCGGAAAAGAAGGAAUAGAGGAAGAUGAACAGAAAUCGUGUGGAGACGGCCUAUUAACACUUUUCUAGACCUCUGAACCUUACAUUUUUUCACUGUAAUUGAAACAUCUUC
ensembl:ncRNA F38E9.8 ncRNA